AGAAGGCUGAUCCUUAAAGCCGGGAAAACAAUGAGUGAGCACUUGUUAUUCAUUCCUCAAUUUCCUGCCUCAUUCAGAGCUGGGGACUCUGGUGGAGAUCUGUGUGGAUGCCAUCAGCAGUGGAGCGGUGCCUUGUUUGGAGAACGCAGUGACACGGCUGGCCCAGCAUGAGAACUCAGCGGCCAUGUAGAACGCAGCUGACCACUACAAGGAGUAGAUGACCCAGUAUCUCCACUGAGAGCCCAUCUUUGGUCUGUCUUGAAAGAGUUUACAAGUGAAAAACAUCUCAGUUAAUUUUGAGGAAGUGUAAGUAAACCCACUGGAUUUCAAUCUUCAAAUACAAGGAAAAUUUUUCAUUUCUUUAUCUUUACACACUUAAUCCACAUUAAACGAAUUCAAGAAAAGUCUCAAACUGUUCGACUACACAUAUGUCAUUCCUGGGGAAUUGAUUUUCUAUGCAUAUGUUUUCAUCAUAGCAACCCAAAUUAUCAGAGGAACUCUGCUUUCAGCCACAAUUCAAGUUUCUAUUGCUCAUUGUUGACUGUUGGAUCACUGUUCAUUAUACCAGAGCUGAAGGAACCAUGGAGUCAUGUCAUCCAAUCCCUUCAUUUUGCAGAUGAUGAUACAGAGCACCAAAAGGAAUUAAGGGACUUCUCACAAGUCACACAGAGAUUGAUCACCACAGAGAAAAAGGAGGAUUUCUUGAUGCAGAAUGAAGAGGCAUCUAUCAACUUUUGCCAGACUGAGCUAGAGCAGGUUUCAGAGCCCCUGAAGAAAAGUAUUUCAAGAGGAGCUUUCUCUGCUGCUAGGGCGCACAAACUCUAUCCACAACAGAAUCGAAGCUUGGUUAGAACUAUAUGCUAUCACCCAGGAAAGGA